UGCAACUCCAACCCCACAUCUUCCUUCUUUCCCUCAGAAAACCACACACAAACCCCACAAACACUAGCCAGACCUUACUCCCCCAAGUUUAGGCGCCCGCUUUGCUUGUGUUUUGCCAAUUUCAAUAGAGUUUGUGGGGCUUUGAAACCCAUUUGAUUAUGACCUAGUUCCCAUCUGCCUCAAUAUUAAUUCCUACAUCCUCAAUAUAUACCUCACGCUUCACCUUCUACUGUCUCCUUAAAUUCCUUCUCCGCCCUCACUCUCUCCCAAAACUGCUACAUGAUAUUCAUCUUCCUCCUCUUCAUGGGGAAGAUUAGAUAUGAUUUGAACUCCAGUACUUAUCCAUAGAUAUACGGACUUCAAGUCCUCACAUCUCUACAUAUUUCUACAUACAUACAUAUGUAUAUACAUGUUUUCUAAACCUUAUAUAUAGCUCAAGUCGUAUAUGAUGGGGUUGGAGAAAGUCUUGGUUAGAAAUUUUUGUAAUAUAAGGGAAUUUUGUUUUCUUCUUGACAUGAUGGCAUCACGCAUACAAACAUGCAUAUAUGUGCCUGGCUCCCUGUAUGCCAUUUGCAGAGCUCACCGGACAAUCGAUGGCCUCCGUGGAUGGCGUAUGAGGAGCCAUGCAUAUUCCAUGUAUAUACAUGGAAUUAAAAUUUCCAGAUUGCUUCUCCUCCCCCCCCCCCCUCUCUCUCUCUCUCUCUCUCUCUCUCUUCAAGGAAGUGUUGUCAUAUUCGAUCGAGACCUAAUUCCACAUGUGGUUGUAAUUUUUUUUCCUCCGUGUACACGGGCAGCGUUGUAAUUUUAGAAAGCUGCAGGCGUUUCUCUCAUGUCUGAAUAAAAGAGAAUAAUAGUAGCUUCCGUGAAGAUGUUCGUCUCUCACCGAUGGUCUCAUGUGGCUUUGCAGGAGACCAUAAUCAUUUUCACUACACAUGAAACGAGGUUUCUGUGAAAUCUUUACCCCAAAUUAUGGAAAAUUAGAAGUGUACCUGACAACAUGGAAGUCACAACUACCGUGUUGCCCUUCCAUCUUGCCGAACGCUUGUCCGAUGGAUGGACAUUUCAUAUGACCCCUAACCUGUCAUAUAAUUAAUGUCCUAUAAAGAAGCAAUUGUUUCACA